rnacentral:rRNA from 1 species
AGGAUUCCCCUAGUAACUGCGAGUGAAGAGGGAAAAGCUCAAAUUUAAAAUCUGGCAGCUUUGCUGUCCGAGUUGUAAUUUAGAGAAGUGUUACCCGCGUUGGACCGUGUACAAGUCUCCUGGAAUGGAGCGUCAUAGAGGGUGAGAAUCCCGUCUUUGACACGGACUACCAAGGCUUUGUGGUAUGCUCUCGAAGAGUCGAGUUGUUUGGGAAUGCAGCUCUAAAUGGGUGGUAAAUUCCAUCUAAAGCUAAAUAUUGGCGAGAGACCGAUAGCAAACAAGUACCGUGAGGGAAAGAUGAAAAGAACUUUGGAAAGAGAGUUAAACAGUACGUGAAAUUGUUGAAAGGGAAACGCUUAAAGUCCAGUCGCGUCGGUUAGGAAUCAACCUUGGUGCUUUUUUCCUUGGUGCACUUCCUAGUCGAUGGGUCAACAUCAGUUUUGACCGUUGGAUAAAAGCCUUAGGAAUGUGGCACUCUUGAGUGCGUUAUAGCCUUUGGUUGUAUACAGCGGUUGGGACUGAGGAACUCAGCACGCCUUUUGGCCGGGUACUUGUACCACGUUCGUGCUUAGGAUGUUGGCAUAAUGGCUUUAAUCGACCCGUCUUGAAACACGGACCAAGGAGUCUAACAUGCCUGCGAGUGUUUGGGUGGAAAACCCUUGCGCGUAAUGAAAGUGAAAGUUGAGAACUCAUUAGAGUGCAUCGACGCCCGGAGCUGAUCUUUUGUGAAGCAUCCGCGGUAGAGCAUGUAUGUUGGGACCCGAAAGAUGGUGAACUAUGCCUGAGUAGGGUGAAGCCAGAGGAAACUCUGGUGGAGGCUCGUAGCGAUUCUGACGUGCAAAUCGAUCGUCAAACUUGGGUAUAGGGGCGAAAGACUAAUCGAACCAUCUA